rnacentral:misc_RNA from 1 species
UGGCACACAAAUUGUAAGAGUUUUAUCAUUUAAGGAACUUCCUUCUUACAAAAAAAAAAAAACUUUCUUCGUACAAGUGAACUGAACCAGAGGUUGAAGGCGCUCAGAUUACUCCAGUGGUUCGCUUUGUUUAGAAAUGCACUAACAACCAACUGUAAAUGGGCGAUGCCCAUAAAAGAAGAUCGAACACCAAACUAACGGCACAUAAAUACUAAUUUGGUACAAAAUUAGCAUAAGUGCUAGCACAGCUUGCAAUGUUGCCUAUGCUUGAUAGAGCUUAUUAACCACGCAUUCACCUAAUAAUGGACAAUCAAAACCUCUGAAAAACUUCGUAAAUAUCUCUCUUCUUUCUCUUCACCCAUCACCACCCACUCACCACUCCACAAACCCCAAACCCCCCCAACCCUUCCUUUUCUUUCAAAUUCCAGUUGUUUGGCAAUUUCUGCCGCUAUCCUUUGGCGCAUAAAACAAACAAUUGAGAAAAUUUUCCUUCGCAAUUUCUACUUCAAACAAAUAUUAUAGCAAUUCGUUCAUUGUUCUGGAGAUAAGGGUGUCUUUCAGGUACUGAGUAGAAUGACUGACAAGGAAGAGAACUCCUCUAAAACCUUCAAGCAACAGCCAGUUAGCUUCUGAAACAAUGGAAUUUACCUGUUUUCGAUAAACUUGAUCUGCUAACCAAUUCCUUUAGAGAUCAUUUUUUCAGACAAGUCAGAAACGAGAGCAUACUUGUUGCUGUCAUAACACGCAGUGGUAAAUGCAGCCAAAGUUAUUCGAUCCACAUUAGGGUCCUUGUCCAGUAAUUUAUGAAAGAACAAUGCAGCAGCGCCUACUUUCUUCUCACUACAAAGCUUCCUGAUCAAUGUAUUAACUGUCCGAAUCCAGAGUUUUUUCUCUAGCCUCUCCAAGAUAAUCAUAGCAGCAGCAGCAUCACCUUGUUUGCAGUACUCAUAAGCCAACGUCAGCCUAGUAACUUCACAUGGAGACAGCCCCUUGUCAAUCAUGGUUUCAUACAACUGAGAAGCCUCACUCAACUUAGACUCGGUGCAUAAACCACUUAUCAGAGCUCCAUAAGUAACACUAUCAGGUGUGCAACCAUAGUCGCUCGUCUUAUGGAAAAACUUUACAGCCAAACUGACAUGGCCAUCUCGACAGUACCCACUUAUCAUUGAUGUGUAUGUUUCCUUGGUUGGAACCAAGCCAAGCUUGACAGCUUCCUCAAAAAGUUUCUCACUUUCUUCCAUUCUUUUUUGUCUACAGAAGGUUGUAAUCAGCACAUUAUAUGUGCGCAUAUCAGGCUGUAGGCCAACUUUGAACAUCCUGCUGAAAAAUGCAAGGGCCUGCUUAUUAUUGUCCUGUCUGCAAAGCUCAGAUAUGAUAAUGGUAUAUGUUACACUAUCAGCCUGCAAUCCAAAUUUUAGUCCCUUCCUAAACAGAUUAUAUGCCUCUGGAAACCUUCCUUUUUUACAGAGGCCAUCAAUAAAUGCAUUAUAUGUAAAGGCAUUAGGAGUGAAUCCUUCUUUAACCAUUAAAUCCAUCAACUCAUAUGCUCUUUCAAAGUUCCCCACUUUACAGUGUCCAUCAAUGAGACAAGUAUACGUGUUGGUGUUAGGAAACAAUCCCUGUUCUUUCAUCCUGCUCAAUAGCAUCUCUGCUCGAUUCAAUUUUUCUUCUUUGCAAUACCCAUUAAUCAUGCUAGUGUACGUGUAUACAUUUGGUUUGUAAUUAUCGCUCCUAACAAGUUUAAGAAAUAGCCUAAAUGCCCUUUCAGUCCAUCCCUUCCUACAUAACCCAUCAAUCAAUGCUGUAUGAGUGUACACAUUGGGUUUCCAACCUUCCCUAACCAUUUCCUCCAACGUCUCAAAUGCUUGCUUAAUGCUACCUCUCUUGCACAUGCCAUUAAUCAAAGAUGUAAAAUUUAUCAAAUUUGGUUUCAAACCCAUCUUGAUCCACUUAUUAAAAUACCAAAACACUCUAUUCGCUGAACCCUUCUCACAAAAUGUGCUAAUUAUCAAAGUACAGGUAGCAUUGUCAACAAUGAAACCUGACUCAAGCAUAUCCUUUAACAACCUAUCAGCAUCCGAAAUUCUGCCCAUUCUACAAUAAGCAACAACCAUCAACUUAUAACUGCUAGAAUCAGGGAAAACCCCUCUAUCACGCAUUUCGUCAAACAAGUUCUCCGCGUAAUCAAUCAAGCCCAAAUAGCUUGCAUACUCAAUAACAAAAUUCAAUGUCCGAGCAUUCAAUACUAAGCCAUGGUUUUGCAUCUCAAUAACCAUACUAACAGCCUCCUUCAACCUCCCAAUCUCAGCAAAGCU